CAAGUUCUCAUAUCUGGAUCUUUAGAAAGCUUGGAUAUUGAUGACCUGCGGUCGAACACCAACUAUUCUGCAGGAUAUCAUCCGGACCAUGAGCUUAUUGAGAUGUUUUGGGAGGUCUUGAAGAGCUUAAGUUUGGACAACCAGAAAAAGUUUCUCAAGUUUGUUACUGGAUGUUCUCGUGACCCCCUCCUUGGAUUUCAGUAUCUCGAACCAAAAUUCUGCAUUCAGAGGUUGGCUACAUC